ensembl:snRNA U6 U6 spliceosomal RNA
UUGCUUUGGCAGCACAUACACUAAAAAUUGGAAUUAAACAGAAGAUUAGCAUGGCCCCUGCGGAAAGAUGACAUGCAAAUUCAUGAACUUUCCAUAUUGAA